rnacentral:lncRNA from 1 species
AACUUAAAUGAUGGUAACCUGGUGUUAGCCAUGUAAAUCCACCCCAUAAUUGUGGGAGGUUUCCUUCUAAUAAAUGGGGGAUUAUAGUUUUCAACUGAGACUUAUCUUUAUUGUCCUAAUUGAUCUUGAGUGACUCUAAAACAAAAUUCAUUUUUAUGGUCAAGGCAUUAUUAAUUGCCGAGUUGAGGGGGUCCUACCUAGUAAUAUCAAGAGUAGCCUGAAUAAUACUAAAUUUUUUUCUUCUAAAAUAAAUUUCCUAAGAGCUAUCCAAUCAGAGCCUCAGGAAGGAAAAAUCCACCAAGGUAUCCCAGAAUACUAGACACAGGUCCACAUAUGCAACAGUUUUACACAGAUGCAACAAUUACAUUGAUUUUUAGAACUAGCAUAGAUAGAAAAAUCUAUUGGCACAUGAUAGAAAAAUAUUUAUUUCAUAUGCAAAAGUCCAAGACAUAAAAAAUAUCAUAAAUGAUCAUACAGACCAAGUCCAGCAUCUUGGGUCACCUGUCUACUUCUGAUGUUGUCUUCUUAUCAUCCUGGUAUGAGUGUAGUUUCUCCUCUUUUGAGUUUCAUUUUAUGGUGAUUUGAGGUCAGCAGUCUUCUCUAUAGACCAGUCCAGUGCAGGGGCCCUUUUCAACUGGGAAAUAUGAAUCCAAGAGUCAAUUUUCUUUAGUUUUGCUGUACAUAAUAUAGUUAAGAGUACCUGGUAAGGCCUUUAUAUCUGGGUUGAGUGAGUCUUUUAGAUGAUGUCUUUUCUGAUAUACAUAAACUCCUGACUGUAGAUCGUGGGACAUCUGAUCUUCAUCUAAAGAUAGAUUACUAUGAUAAGCUUCAGAAAUAGUCUUAGAAUGUCCUUUUAGAAGCUCAGUUAAACUUCUACAAUAAUGUAAUAUGUCCCCUUUUAAUAAUACAGGUUCAUAUAAUCCUUCAUCUAAUCUCAUUUGACUCCCUGUGAUAAUUUCAAAAGGAGACAAAUGAUAUUUCCAGAGAGGGUAGAUCUUAGUUUGAGGAGGACCAAUGGAAGGGCCUUUGGCGAGGGUAAGGAAUAAAUAUCUAUAAUUUUAGCCAAUUGGGCUUUAAGUGUCCAAUUGUCCUUUCUACUAAUCCAGCAAACUGGGGGUUAUAAGCAUAAUGGAAAUGCUGAAUGAUUGGCCAAAUUUUAUAAGUUUUCUUGAUAAUUUGUCCAAUAAAAUAGGUUCCCUUAUCACUCUGUUUUCUGAAGGAAUUCCCCAAAUGAGAAUCACCCUUUCCAAAAUUAAUUUGCCUAUUGAAUGUGCAGUGACCCUUCUGCAUGGGAAUUCCUCAACCCAAUGUGAAAACAAAUAUACAAAUCAUAACAAAUAUACACUGGUAACCUUGAGAGGGAGGCAUUUGGAUAAAAUCAAUCUGCCAAAUUUCAAAAUGGCCUGCAGGCAAUGGAAAGCUUCUUUGAGAACUAUGUAAUAGCUUUCCUGAGUUAUAUUUUGGAUAUGUAGUUCAUCUAGAAUACACCUCUGAGCUGUAUUGAAGGAUGGCUUCUAAAAUGAUCAUUUGCUCCCAACACCAUCUUAUCUGGAUUCCAAUGAGUUAACUCAUGAAUUGUCAAAUUGGGUAUUGGACUCCAAGUGACUUUCUGUUUGGGCCUAUCCAGAGUCAAAAUUUCCUUCUUUUUGUUUCUAAGUAUCCUUUCCUCCUUUCAGUUCCAUUCCAUGAAAAUUUAACAGGGUGUUAGUAAGGUUACUGGGAGGCUGAAAUGAUAAAACAGCUGUUAGUUGAUGGUUUUCAUUUUGCAGAGCUGCUGUCUUGGCAAUGUGAUCAGCCGAGUUUCCUUUUGCUUUUGUGGUGUCAGCCUUUGAAUGACCUGAUACUUUAAUGAUAACUAAUGUACUUGAUAGCAGAAUUGCAUCCAAUAAUCCUGUGACUUGUCUCCCAUUUUUAACAAGCUGUCCUGAGAAUAUUAAAAAUCCUCUUUGUUUCAAAACCAUGCCAAAGUCAUGUGCUGCCCACAAAAUGUAGUGGCUGUCAGUGUAAAUGUUAGACUUCCCUUUUGCCAACUGGCAGGCUCAUGUUAGUGCUAUUAAUUCAGCCUGUUGGACCAAGAGACAUUAGGUAAGGAACCUUUUUAAGUAUUGACACUGGAAAAAAGACAGCAUAACUAGCCUGGUACUUUCCAUGAGGUCCUUGAAGUUAUGAGCCAUCAAUGUGGAACAUAGAAUCAGGAUUAUCCAUUGGGCUUUCUCAGAGAUCAGUCCUGGGAAAUAAAAGAUUGACAGUCAAAACAAAACCAUCAUGUUUUUCAUCGUUGAUGUCUGAUUCUUCCAGUAGCAAAAUGGCUGGAUUAAGCAUAUCACAUCUGGGAAAAUUUAUAUUUGGCAAGAGCAAGAUAAUUGCACAGGAGGUUAAUCGACUUGCUGAAUAAUGUUGUGUGUGAUGAGAGUUGAGUAAGUCUUCCACAGAGUGAGGAACAAAGAUAGGAGGGAGUGACUUAUGAAUAUCUCUUCUGUGGUGUGACACAGCACAGCUAUUGCUGUGACAGUCCUGAAGCAAGGGAGGAAGCCCCUGGCUAUCGAAUCUAGCAGUUGACUAUAAUAUCCUAUUGGCUGGUUGCAACCACCAUGUUGCUGGGUUAGUACUCCUAGUGCAGUCCUCUUGCUUUCAUGAACAAAGAGGGAAAAGGGUAGAUCAUAAUUGAGAUGUCCCAGGGCCAGGACCUUGGCCAAAAGUUUUUUUAAGGUCUCUAUGACAUCCCAGCAAAGAGGUUCAGGUUGGUCUUGUUUGAAUAAAUUGUAUAGUGGUUGAGCUGAUAAAGGAAAAUUUGAAAUCCAAUUCCUACAGUAGCCUGCAAGUCCUAAAAAUCCCUUUAAUUGCCUUUUUGUCUUCAGGGCAGGGGAAGCUAGAAUGCCUUUAAUUCUAUCCAGACCAAUUAAAAGUCCUUCUUUAAAUAUCCUAAGUCCUAAGUAUUUUACUCUAGUCUUACAGAAUAGUAAUUUCUCUUUGGAUCCUUUAUGUCCCUUUAAGGCUAGCUUCUGAAGUAAAUAAAAGUCAGGGUACCUAUCAAACGUCAAGGUACCUAUAUCAAAGAAUUUGAACACAGCAGCAAAUCAUCUACAUAUUGUAUCAAAUUGGAGUUAUGAGGAAAAUUCAGAUCAUCUAUAACUACUUUUAUUAUUUGGGAGAAGUAAGUGGGGCUUUCAUUAUAGCCCUGUGGCAUUACAGUCUGCAUAUAUUGUCAUACAUUCCAAGUACAAGCAAAAGGAUACUGGUCAUCCAGAUGCAUGGGGAUACUAAAAAGAUCUAUAGUGAUUUUAAUGGGUAAGGCAGAAUGUAUUCUCCCAAUGUCAAUGUAAUCAAAUGCCCAUAAUUCUUAAGGUAAUAAGCCUAACAAUUUAUCCUGUUCAUCACCAUCCUCAUCAUGGGUCAGAAAUACAAAAUGAAAGGAAGUCUGAUUGAUCCUUCAGAUCUAGAAAUCUUUCUCCCUUAGGAGUAAAAGAAAUGUGGACUUCAUAAGCUUCUAAUAGGUCUCUACUUAGCAGGUGAAUAAGAGUACUUUCUACUCAAAUUCCCUUAAGUAGAAUUCUGAAGGUAAUGAUUUCAAAUUCCCUUAAUUAGAAUUCUAAAGGUAAUGAUUUCAGAUCCUUAAGAAGUGUAUUAGAAACCUCCAUCAUCUGUACUGAGGUAUUACUCCAAGGGAGACAGCCUUUAGUUUAUGUAGCAUUCAAAACUGAAAAGGUGGUAUCUAUUAGGGCUUUAAUUGUUCCUCCUUGUAUCAUCAUUUCUACUUCACCCUUGGUGUUAGAGAGCAUCAGGAAAAAGACUAGAAGAAGCCCCAUUUUUGUUUAACUCAAAAUUCCAGUCUAAAAUUCAGUAUUUCUUCUAGGCUUCUCCUUUACUUACAGUUUAUUUUCUGAUGUCCUGGCUUUCCUCAGUAAAAACAACUUUGAGUUUCUCUACUGGUUGUGGAUAACAGGGAUCAGUUAACCUUCAACCAGCAUUGAGUACUUGGUUGAGUAGACCUCCCUGUGCUAUACAGUAUGUCCUUGUUAGUUUUCUAUUCUAUAUAUAGUAGUGUGUAUGUGUUAAUCCCACCUUCCCAACCAAUUCCUCCCCACCACAGUUUCCCCUUUGGUAACCAUAAGUUUGAUUUUGAAAUCUGUGAGGUUUUUUUUUUUUAAUGAACAAUUUCUUUGUUUCAUUUUUAUUAGAUUCCACAUAUGUGAUAUCAUACGAUAUUUAUCUUGUACUUAUUAUGAUAAUCUCUAGUUGCAUUCAUGCUGCUGCAAAUAGCAUCAUUUUGUUCUUUUUUUAUGCCUGAGUAGUAUUCUAUUGUGUAUAUGUGCCACAUCUUCUUUAUCUAUUCCUCUGUCAGUGGACAUUUAGGUUUCUUCUGUGUCUUGGCUAUUGUAAAUAGUACUGUAACCAAUCAUUGGGGUGCAUAAUCUUUUCAAAUUAUGGUUUUCUCCAGAUACAUGCCCAGGGGUGGGAUUGCAGGAUCAUAUGGUAAUUUUAUAUUUUUAAUUUUUUAAGGGACCUCCAUACUCUUCUCCAUAGUGGUUGUACCAAUUUACAAUCCCACUAACAGGAUGGGAGGGUUCCCUUUUCUCCACACUCUCUCCAGCAUUUGUUGUUCAUAGACUUUUUGAUGAUGCCCAUUCUGACUGGUGUGAGGUGAUACCUCAUUGUAGUUUUGCUUUUCAUUUCUCUAGUAAUUAGUGAUGUUGAACAUCUUUUUGUGUGUUUUUUGGUUAUCUAUUUCCUAUUUUAAAUUGAACUUUUGGAGAAUAAAAUUUACUAAUGAAAUUGUGUGGUAGGCAAGUAUGCUGCUUUUGAGCUUAGCUCCUCUAGGCAUCACCCUAGAGCUGUUUCAGCUCUCUUUUAUGUGGCUUGGUUUCUACCUUUGAUGGUCUAAGACCACUGUGGGUAGUCAGAUCACUGAAUAGCCAGUUUUUAGCCAUGACCUCCCAGAUAUGCAAGUCUUCAGUUAGUGAGUGGGUUUCCAUAUGGGAAUCACAGCACGGUAUGGAAACUCUGCCUCCACCAGUCCUGUAAAUUUUUGAGUUGCCUGAGAAAAUGGUAACCAACCAGGAGGAGUCUUGUCCCUUUUCUUUGAAGUAAAAGUUUUCAUAUAUUAUCUUCACUUUUAUCCUGAUAAAUUCUAUUAAGGUAGCUGAGUUGAUGAAAAGAGUCAGAUCAGCCUCUUACCUAACCACUCAGCCCAGACCACUCAGCCUCUUUUAAUUGAACAAACCCUGGUAUCUUUGAACUACCUCCUCACCCAGUAUGUUUCAAUUGAGUGGGUAUUGUUUCUGGUAUCUUUUAACCAGGUCUUUCCCCCAGUACCUUUUAACUGGGGGCGGUGGGGGAGGGGGGCAGGUAUAUGUCAUACACUUUCAAAUACAACACAGGAGCUUCAAGCAAUAUAGGAAAUUCAAUAACUAGGAGAGACUCACCCAAAUUUGUCUGGACUACCUGGGGAGGCAGACAGGUGCAGGAGGCCUCUGCUGGUACCAAGGCUCUGGUUUCCCAUAGAGUUCAAGUGAAAGAUAGAAGUCUGCUUUGGUUCUCUUUCAUUGGUGGCCAAAGCUGUC